rnacentral:rRNA from 1 species
AUGAAGAUGGAGUCGGCCUUGGGACCGGAUGUGCUUCCGGUGGCAGUCUUCCAGAGGUUCUAUAAUGUCCUGCAGCUAGUGAUUAUGCCGAUGUUCCAUGAAUUCUACAGUGGAACCUUCAACAUGAGCGGAGUGCUCACCCACUCCAGACAGACCGUGUUCCUGAAGAGCCGGUGCAUCCAUGAUGGAAUUUUUGCCCUUCACGAGAUUGUCCGUGAGGUGGUGUCGCGGGGUCAUAAGGGCGUCUUUCUCAAGUUGGACUUCCGAAAGGCCUACGACCGCCUGGAUUGGUCCUUCUUGCGGCUAGUGCUCCAGCGCCGGGGCUAUGAUGAGAGAUGGUGUUCAUGGAUCAUCCAGUUGGUUCGGUCCGGUAGUACGGGGAUUAAUAUUAACUAG